GCCCGCAUAGCUCAACUGGCAGAGCAGAUCCCUCUUAAGGAUAAGGUUCGAGGUUCGAUUCCUCGUGCGGGCA
rnacentral:tRNA from 1 species